rnacentral:rRNA from 1 species
AGGGUUUGAUUCUGGCUCAGAAUGAACGCUGGCGGCAUGCCUAACACAUGCAAGUCGAACGAGAUCUUCGGAUCUAGUGGCGCACGGGUGAGUAACGCGUGGGAACCUACCUUUUAGUACGGGACAACGUUUGGAAACGAACGCUAAUACCGUAUACGCCCUCCGGGGGAAAGGUCUGCCGCUAAAAGAGGGGCCCGCGUCUGAUUAGCUUGUUGGUAGGGUAAUGGCCUACCAAGGCAACGAUCAGUAGCUGGUCUGAGAGGAUGAUCAGCCACACUGGGACUGAGACACGGCCCAGACUCCUACGGGAGGCAGCAGUGGGGAAUAUUGGACAAUGGAGGCAACUCUGAUCCAGCAAUGCCGCGUGUGUGAUGAAGGCCUUAGGGUUGUAAAGCACUUUCAACGGUGAAGAUGAUGACUGUAGCCGUAGAAGAAGCCCCGGCUAACUUCGUGCCAGCAGCCGCGGUAAUAC